rnacentral:rRNA from 1 species
AGGAUGAACGCUGGCGGUAUGCUUUACACAUGCAAGUCAUACGAGAAUUUUUAAUUCAAGUGGCGGACGGGUGAGUAACACGUAAGAAUUUACCUUUAGGAGGGGGAUAACAACUGGAAACGGUUGCUAAUACCCCAUAUGCUUUCGAGUGAAAUGGAGUUUUCCGCCUAGAGAGAAGCUUGCGGCUGAUUAGCUUGUUGGUGAGGUAAUGGCUUACCAAGGCGACGAUCAGUAUCUGGUUUGAGAGGACGAUCAGACACACUGGAACUGAGACACGGUCCAGACUCCUACGGGAGGCAGCAGUGGGGAAUUUUCCGCAAUGGGCGAAAGCCUGACGGAGCAAUACCGCGUGAGGGAUGACGGCCUAUGGGUUGUAAACCUCUUUUUUCAGGGAGGAAUAAAUGACGUGUACCUGAAGAAUAAGCAUCGGCUAACUCCGUGCCAGCAGCCGCGGUAAGACGGAGGAUGCAAGUGUUAUCCGGAAUCACUGGGCGUAAAGCGUCUGUAGGUGGUUUAAUAAGUCAACUGUUAAAUCUUGAGGCUUAACUUCAAAAUCGCAGUCGAAACUAUUAGACUAGAGUAUAGUAGGGGUAAAGGGAAUUUCCAGUGGAGCGGUGAAAUGCGUAGAGAUUGGAAAGAACACCGAUGGCGAAGGCACUUUACUGGGCUAUUACUAACACUCAGAGACGAAAGCUAGGGUAGCAAAUGGGAUUAGAUACCCCAGUAGUCCUAGCCGUAAACAAUGGAUACUAGAUGUUGAACAGAUCGACCUGUGCAGUAUUAAAGCUAACGCGUUAAGUAUCC